rnacentral:lncRNA from 1 species
UUCCAUUAGUUCCAUUAUUUAAAAUUCAAAACGUUUAUUUCAAGUAAACUAAUAUGUUAAAAAAUGUGUAGAUAUAAAUACUGCUAUAACUUUUUUGUAUAAAUAUAUGUAUUUGUAUGUGAAGAUGUUUGUAUAAGAAGUAACUUCUAUUUUGUGUGAGAUCUUCAAAAGUGUCUGUCAGAACUGAGCUUACCGGUCAGUUCAAAGAAGACGCGAUUUUUCUUUCAUCUAUUUCUUCGUGUGACAUAAAAGUUUAUUUUUUCAGUCCUACGUUUUUCAACUUAGUAGAAUGUUCAAACAGGUUGAUUAUAAAAACAGCAAAACAGGUGAGGUGGAUUGUACAAUGCGUCAAUUUCCUUUGCUUAGCUUACAUUGUGCAAGGAUGUUUUCUUCUUUGCAGAAGAAAAAGUUUUCUUCAAAAUCUUUUUCUUCUGCAAAGAAAAAGAUUUUGAUUGCUUGUGGAAAGAUUCAAAUCAGUGAUUAUGAACUAUAUUUGUACUAGUUUCACAUAAUAUCAUUAGUGGAAGAUUUAUUAUUUCAGUACUAUUUUUACGCUCAUUAACACAAAUAAAACACUCACAUUUCCACCUAGAACAAUUUUAGUAUCAAGAUCUAAAAGUAAUAAGAAGUAAUUUUUUUAGUGUAAAUACAAUUUUGUUUAUAAGCACAACAAAAAUAAUG